GGAUAAAAAUUAGAUGCCUUUGAUCUGAGCACACAUGGAUAACUUUGUUUUCUGCAUUUAGAUUAAAAAAUGAUUGUAAAGGCUGUAGCAUGGAAGAUUGUAAGGAGGCUUAUGUUUAGAUUGUUUUUGUUUGUUUGAACAUCGACUGUAAUCUUGUUAUUGUUUGUUCCUUGUCAAUUGAUUAGACAUUUUUUUCAGAUCAUUUGUUGGGUAUGUGCAUGAGCAUGAAUGUUUGUUCGUGUGCUCGUUUGCAGGCUUGCAUGCAUUUGUUUGCAUGUUUGUAUGCAUAUGUGUGCUACAUUUCAUGAUGCUCAUGGCUCAAAUGGGAUUAAUCCAAUUUAUUUAGUUAGUAGUAUCUUUCUACGACAAAUUAUCGAUGCAAUACUGGUUUGGAGAUGUUACUACUGCUGUUCAGCAUUUGAUCAUGAGAGAAAUGUUGCAAAUUGGGAAUGGUUUUAUAAUGUGUAGAUUGCAUAUGGAGAAUAUUUUCAGUAGGUGAUGAGAUUAUGUGAUCCAAAAGCUAAACCUUUUCCUGAUCCUGUUAAUUCAGAAAUUCUGAUUUUUCUGGUUCUGUAUUUGAGAUAAGUGAACACUAGAAGGUGAUUGUUAGCUUCCUUUGGUCUCACCAGGUGAAUUGGCUGAUCUGCAAGCUAAGGUUAAACUGUCGAUUACAAAUUAACAAUACCUAGCUAGCUUCUGUCGGAUUUGUGUUUGGUUGGAUAUUUUUGUAUGGAAGACCGAUUAAACAGGAUUGGGGAAUCAGAAAAUCUAACAUUUUCUUUAAUCUUCUGCUCGAAA